rnacentral:rRNA from 1 species
AUUGCCUCAGUAACGGCGAGUGAAGCGGCAACAGCUCAAAUUUGAAAUCUGGCCUCUUUGGGGUCCGAGUUGUAAUUUGUAGAGGAUGUUUCGGGCACCGCUCCGGUUUAAAUUUCUUGGAACAGAAUGUCAAAGAGGGUGAGAACCCCGUCUUGGACCGGCAGUAGGGCCCAUGUGAAACUCCUUCGACGAGUCGAGUUGUUUGGGAAUGCAGCUCAAAAUGGGUGGUAAAUUUCAUCUAAAGCUAAAUAUUGGCCAGAGACCGAUAGCGCACAAGUAGAGUGAUCGAAAGAUGAAAAGCACUUUGAAAAGAGAGUUAAACAGUACGUGAAAUUGUUGAAAGGGAAGCGCUUGCAACCAGACUUGCGCGCGGCGGUUCCCCCUUCCUUUUGGUUGGGUUAUUCCGCCGUGUCCAGGCCAACAUCGGUUCUGGGGGUCGGUUAAAGGCCUGGGGAAUGUAUCUACCCUUCGGGCGUAGACUUAUAGCCCCGGGUGUCAUGCGACCUCCCGGGACCGAGGAACGCGCUUCGGCUCGGAUGUUGGCGUAAUGGUUGUCAGCGACCCGUCUUGAAACACGGACCAAGGAGUCUAACAUCUAUGCGAGUGUUUGGGUGUCAAACCCGGAACGCGGAAUGAAAGUGAACGGAGGUAGGAAGCUUCGGCUGCACUAUCGACCGAUCCUGAUGUCUUCGGAUGGAUUUGAGUAAGAGCAUAGCUGUUGGGACCCGAAAGAUGGUGAACUAUGCCUGAAUAGGGUGAAGCCAGAGGAAACUCUGGUGGAGGCUCGCAGCGGUUCUGACGUGCAAAUCGAUCGUCAAAUUUGGGUAUAGGGGCGAAAGACUAAUCGAACCAUCUGGUAGCUGGUUCCUGCCGAAGUU